rnacentral:tRNA from 2 species
GGGGAUAUAGCUUAGUGGUGGAAUGCAUGCUUUGCAUAUAUGAGGCCCUGAGUUCAAUCCCCAGUAUCUUCA